UGCAGUCGACGGCAGCACAGCAGUAGCAAUACUGUGGGUGGCGAGUGGCGGACGGGUGAGGAAUACAUCGGAAUCUACCUUGUCGUGGGGGAUAACGUAGGGAAACUUACGCUAAUACCGCAUACGACCUUCGGGUGAAAGUGGGGGACCGCAAGGCCUCACGCGAUUAGAUGAGCCGAUGUCGGAUUAGCUAGUUGGCGGGGUAAUGGCCCACCAAGGCGACGAUCCGUAGCUGGUCUGAGAGGAUGAUCAGCCACACUGGAACUGAGACACGGUCCAGACUCCUACGGGAGGCAGCAGUGGGGAAUAUUGGACAAUGGGCGCAAGCCUGAUCCAGCCAUACCGCGUGGGUGAAGAAGGCCUUCGGGUUGUAAAGCCCUUUUGUUGGGAAAGAAAUCCUAUCGAUUAAUACUCGGUGGGGAUGACGGUACCCAAAGAAUAAGCACCGGCUAACUUCGUGCCAGCAGCCGCGGUAAUACGAAGGGUGCAAGCGUUACUCGGAAUUACUGGNCGUAAAGCGUGCGNNAGNNGGUUGUNNAANNUCUGUUGUGAAAGCCCUGGGUUCAACCUGGGAAUUGCAGUGGAUACUGGGCGACUAGAGU
rnacentral:rRNA from 1 species